AACGAACGCUGGCGGCAUGCCUAACACAUGCAAGUCGAACGAGACCUUCGGGUCUAGUGGCGCACGGGUGCGUAACGCGUGGGAACCUGCCCUUAGGUUCGGAAUAACUCCCCGAAAGGGGUGCUAAUACCGGAUAAUGUCUUCGGACCAAAGAUUUAUCGCCUUUGGAUGGGCCCGCGUUGGAUUAGCUAGUUGGUAGGGUAAAAGCCUACCAAGGCGACGAUCCAUAGCUGGUCUGAGAGGAUGAUCAGCCACACUGGGACUGAGACACGGCCCAGACUCCUACGGGAGGCAGCAGUGGGGAAUAUUGGACAAGGGGAGAAAGCCUGAUCCAGCAAUGCCGCGUGAGUGAUGAAGGCAUUAGGGUUGUAAAGCUCUUUUACCCGGGAUGAUGACAGUACCGGGAGAAUAAGCUCCGGCUAACUCCGUG
rnacentral:rRNA from 1 species